UGGAUCCAGACUUUGAUCAUGGCUCAGGACGAACGCUGGCGGCGUGCUUAACACAUGCAAGUCGAACGAGACGAUUGAAAGCUUGCUUUUGAGAGUCGAGUGGCAAACGGGUGAGUAACGCGUAGACAACCUGCCGUAAAGAUGGGGACAACAGUUCGAAAGGACUGCUAAUACCGAAUGUUGUCGAACUUCCGCAUGGGAGCUCGACUAAAGAUGGCCUCUACUUGUAAGCUAUCGCUUUACGAUGGGUCUGCGUCUGAUUAGCUAGUUGGUGGGGUAACGGCCUACCAAGGCGACGAUCAGUAGCCGGUCUGAGAGGAUGAACGGCCACAUUGGAACUGAGACACGGUCCAGACUCCUACGGGAGGCAGCAGUGGGGAAUCUUCCGCAAUGGGCGCAAGCCUGACGGAGCAACGCCGCGUGAGUGAAGAAGGGUUUCGACUCGUAAAGCUCUGUUGUCGGGGACGAAUGUGGAGAUGGUGAAUAACCAUUUUCAAUGACGGUACCUGACGAGGAAGCCACGGCUAACCACGUGCCAGCAGCCGCGGUAAUACGUAGGUGGCGAGCGUUGUCCGGAAUUAUUGGGCGUAAAGGGAGCGCAGGCGGGAAGGUAAGUCUAUCUUAAAAGUGCGGGGCUCAACCCCGUGAGGGGAUGGAAACUAUCUUUCUUGAGUGCAGGAGAGGAAAGCGGAAUUCCUAGUGUAGCGGUGAAAUGCGUAGAUAUUAGGAGGAACACCAGUGGCGAAGGCGGCUUUCUGGACUGUAACUGACGCUGAGGCUCGAAAGCGUGGGGAGCGAACAGGAUUAGAUACCCUGGUAGUCCACGCCGUAAACGAUGAAUGCUAGGUGUAGGAGGUAUCGACCCCUCCUGUGCCGGAGUUAACGCAAUAAGCAUUCCGCCUGGGGAGUACGGCCGCAAGGCUGCAACUCAAAUGAAUUGACGGA
rnacentral:rRNA from 1 species